rnacentral:rRNA from 1 species
GAUGAACGCUGGCGGCGUGCCUAAUACAUGCAAGUCGAGCGAACAGACGAGGAGCUUGCUCCUCUGACGUUAGCGGCGGACGGGUGAGUAACACGUGGAUAACCUACCUAUAAGACUGGGAUAACUUCGGGAAACCGGAGCUAAUACCGGAUAAUAUAUUGAACCGCAUGGUUCAAUAGUGAAAGACGGUUUUGCUGUCACUUAUAGAUGGAUCCGCGCCGCAUUAGCUAGUUGGUAAGGUAACGGCUUACCAAGGCAACGAUGCGUAGCCGACCUGAGAGGGGGAUCGGCCAAACGGGAACGGAGCACGGGUCCAGACUCCUAGGGGAGGCAGGAGUAGGGAAUUUUCCGCAAGGGGCGAAAGCUUGACGGAGCAACGCCGCGUGAGUGAAGAAGGUCUUCGGAUCGUAAAACUUUGUUAUUAGGGAAGAAAAAAUGUGUAAGUAACUAUGCACGUCUUGACGGUACCUAAUCAGAAAGCCACGGCUAACUACGU